rnacentral:rRNA from 1 species
UACAGAGGUCUCAAGCGUUGUUCGGAUUCAUUGGGCGUAAAGGGUGCGUAGGCGGCGCGGUAAGUCGGGUGUGAAAUCUCGGAGCUUAACUCCGAAACUGCAUUCGAUACUGCCGUGCUUGAGGACUGGAGAGGAGACUGGAAUUUACGGUGUAGCGGUGAAAUGCGUAGAUAUCGGGAGGAACACCGGUGGCGAAGGCGGUUCUCUGGGCCUUACCUGGCGCUGGAGGAGCGAAAGCGUGGGGAGCGAACAGG